rnacentral:rRNA from 1 species
UUGACCUCGGAUCAGGUAGGAAUACCCGCUGAACUUAAGCAUAUCAAUAGGC